CCCUGCGGCCUCUGAGCGUGCGGGUUCGUCUUUCCGAGCUCCGAAAACGUGCAGAAGGUUCAGCUGUGGACUUGGGCAGCUACAAACUCUGAUAAUAUGAAAAGCAGUGGCAGGCAGUCUGCGUGUAGAGUUUUCAGAUGCCUUCACCUGAAUGAGAAACCUGGCAACACCAAGAUAAGUAAAUGAAUGUAGUCCUUUUGUCAUGUAGAUUUUAAUUAAAUUAUUUCAGCUCAGAGAAGUAGAAAAGGUACAGUUUUUAAAAAUCAUGGA